rnacentral:rRNA from 1 species
UACGUAGGGUGCAAGCGUUAUCCGGAUUUACUGGGUGUAAAGGGCGAGUAGACGGCAAUACAAGUCAACUGUGAAAACUUAGGGCUCAACCUUAAGACUGCAGCUGAAACUGUAUAGCUAGAGUGCAGGAGAGGAAAGUGGAAUUCCUAGUGUAGCGGUGAAAUGCGUAGAUAUUAGGAAGAACACCAGUGGCGAAGGCGACUUUCUGGACUGUAACUGACGUUGAGGCGCGAAAGUGUGGGGAGCAAACAGG